rnacentral:lncRNA from 1 species
GGUGCUCAAUUUCACUAAUCAUUGGGAAAAAGCAAAUCAAAACCACAAUGAGAUAUUAACUUACACAUAUUAAGAUGGUUAUUACAUGUGUAUCUUUCCGGCCAGGCUCUGAGCUCACAAUCACAGGGAUUGUGUCUUUUUUGUCUUUAUCUCCAAAGUCUAGCAUAAUGCUCAUAUGUCAAUAAUUGUUCUGGUAAUUUUAUCCUAAAUUUGCCCUAAAUAUAAUUUCAAAAGAGCUUUAGGGGUAAUAGGGCAUGAAACAAAAUUAAACUAUGUUUUGAAUUUCUUUCUUCAAUACUCAGAGACAGAGAAAAUUAUAACAUUCAAUUACAUAUUUACUUUUAUUUACAUUAGUAAGGCUGUAAAUUAUGAAUGUAAAUGUGCUUAGCUAGAACAAAUAUUGCUCAGAAUAAAAAAGAUAUACAAAUAUAAUGCUAAUAUACAAUAUAGGCUAUCAUAAAAAUUUGUAUUUGUGUACACACAUACAUAAUUGGCUACAUUCGACAAUGGGGUUCAUUUGAUUCCUCCGUAGUAAUUAGAACAGGAGACUUAACUGAUUACAGCCAUGAUGCGGUUACUUAAAAACACACACACACACACGCACACAGGCACAGGCACACACAUGCACACCCCACAUAAAUAAGUUUGGGAAAAUUUUAAAUUUUCUCACUUAGGACUUUUCAAAGCCAUCUCAAAGGAGCUUCCUCAAAACAUUUAAUGUUGGCAUCACCCCACAAGUACUCAGAAAUAAGUGUUAAAAUAGAAAUCCAAUCCAGUAAUGGGAAACUGACUUAGAUUAUCUUAUUUGUUUGUAUAUUUAUUUGUCAUCUAUCUCUCUUAUUCACUGCUCUAUUUUCAACAUCUACAAUAGUGCUUAGUAAUGAAUACACAUGCAGUACACAAAGGUGCUAACACAAUAUAUGACUAAUGAUGAGGGCUAUGCACAUUUAUACAGAAUGAGAAUUAUUUAGUCCAAAAAAUAUCUGGAAAGCAUAAAUGCUGUAAUUGGAUAAAGCUAAAAUUCUAUUACUCUAUUGAAAUCAGAUAUCAAGUGAUACUUUUAAACUAAACGUGAGGUAAUGGUUGAAAAGGGAUUAAAACACUGGAAUUUGGGCAUGCCAAAUCCAAAUCAUUGAAUAUUCAAUUACAGAUCUAAUAAAGCAGGUAGACCAUGAAUAGGAUAAUUGCAUAUGGAGACCUUGGUUCCAGUCGCGACUAUGUCACUGUGAGAUUUUGGCCAAUGAGGUACAAUUUCCUCAAUUAUAAAAUGCAUUAGAAAUAGCUGCCCUCUCUUCUUUACAGAAGUGUUGUAAGAAACAAAUACAAUCGAAUUUAUAUACUCUUAUUAUUUAAUCAUCCAUUACAAGCAAAAUGUAAAUGUGAUUGUCCUUACUACAAUCAACACUGAAAACAGUGAAUUCAGGAUGUUGCUGUGGCAGGCCAGAGGUGGGUCUCUUGAGUCUCCAUUGAAAUAACUUGCUGGCCAGCAAGUUAGUGGACAGCGUCCAGCUGCGCCUUCUGGAUUGGCCACAGCAUUUGCAGGUCUUUUUUUUUUGUUGUUUUUCUUUUUCCCAGGAUAGCCCCAGACAAUGACUUAACAGGAUGGGGCACUAAGACCCAGACAUUACUGCCCAGCAUAACACUGUCUCCUCUCUGGGCAAACUUUGCUUUGGGCCUCACUAUGAGCUGGCCAAAACUCUCCCAGAGCUGUGUCUGAAUCUCAUGCUUUUUCUCCUCACUCCCCACACCUCCCCUCUUCCCUCUCACAGGUGGGAGCCUGAAAGCCCACCCCAUACCCAUACUUCUGUUUCUUCUCCCUUUUAUCUUUCUCAAACAUUAACCUCCAAUCAGUGUUUGCACUUCUAACUUUGUCCUGGUGUCUGAGUUCUAGAAAACCCGACACCCAAUCCCUCAAACCCCAAUCACCAGAAGCAGCCCAUGUCAGUAUUUUCCAUUUUAUAUUUUUUACAGAAGUGUUCAAAUACACAAAAAUAUUGUAAGCUUUUUAUUGCAAGAUGUUUAAUUUCUUUUUUUUCUUCCUUUUCCCCUCAUUCUUGCUGUCAUCUUAAGGAUGCUGAAUUUCUACUUCUUUUUUCUUCUUGGAAUUAUAUGUUGUAUUUGUGAACAAGAGACGAUAAAAUAUUAUUUCAAACGUACACCUUAUCAAAUGCUAACCCCCACUUGACAUUCACCUAUUUUAUCAACAGCAAUGGUUGAGAGGACUCAUAGACAUUUCUUGAGAACAUAGCAUUGAAUGGCAUGGCCUCAAUGAAUCAGUGAGUUGGAGGUAUCAGUAAUCUCCCAAUAGCUUUUUAGGGUGAGGGUCAGAUUCCUUCUUAAUGUGAGCCUGGAGCUCUUCUGUAAAGUCCUUGUUUCCAUACUGUCCCUGGCUUGUUGAAUUCCAGUAGAGAAUGACCAGCAACCAUACAGCUUUUAGCUUUGACCGGACCAGUGAGUUCUUUCGUAUCCAAGCUCCAAUUUAAACACUCUUGUCUCUUGGUUCUAUGUAAUCCUCUGCAGGCAUACUCUACGAUAGGCUCAGCUGGGUCUCAAAAGUUCCAGCUUUACAAAUAGCUUCUUCAUUAAAUGCUCCUGAUGUAACUUAUAGGCAUCACUUCACAUUGACCUUGUGAAAGGAGAACACCUGAGCAGGUAUUUGGAUAGUGGGUAGAUGCUAAGAGCUUUUCCCAGAGAGCUCAUUGUCUGCUGUCUUACAAAAGAGAUAAUCCUGCACAUUGUUUUUAUUGUUUUCAUUUGCUUCUAUUGCCUUUUAAUUAUUUUUGGUUUUCUUUCUGCAUCAAUGCUACAAUUACAUAAAUACUCUAUGAAUUUCCUUUGUAAGCUUUGGUAGCAUUUGACAUCAUGAUAUACUGUUAUUUUCGACAGACAGUAUGUUUUUUAAAAAAGCUUAUUCCCACUAGAAGAGUUUAUUUAUUUUAAGGUGGUAAAUCUGUAUUUUCAAAUUGUUUCUAUCUUUCUCUCUCUCUCUCUCUUUUUUUUUAAAUUAGCUUUUCAACUUGAUUGUAAAAUGUCACAGCGCAGAGAAUGUACCUGGGAAGAUGAGCUUGCAUGGAGCCAGGCAAAGCAGAUUACAAUCUGGGCUCUCUUCUCAUAUUGAAGGCGUGAUUCUUCCUCAGCAAGACAAAAGGCUCACGCUGUGAAAAGCAUGAGGGAACUGAGUGAAAUCCAGACCGUCUUCCUCUUACACAGGGCACAGCUCCCUCAGAGGGAAGGCAGGAAGAACCACCUGUGAAUUGUCAUUUUUUACCCACUGCCUGGAACACAGUAAGCUCCAAGCAGAGAGACACGGCGGUGGGGAAGACACCUAGACUUCGGGAUUUCCAGGACUGGCCCUAUCUCCUGCUGGGUGUGAGGACUCUGGCCAAGUUUGCCACCUCUCCGGGGUUUCAUUUUUCUCUUAGGGCUUUGUGAGUACAAAAUGAGACAAUGAGUCUUUCCUUUCUGUGAAAACUAUAAAAUGCCAUAUGAAUUUGAGCAGAGGGAGGUAGCACAUAAAAGAUUCUAGUCCACAAGACAGUGUUCAAGCAAGCACUGAGCGCAGGCACAAGCACAGCUUGCCCUGAUGGGCUUUUGUUAUGAAGAAAUGGUCUUGAAUCUCAGCCUAAACAAACAAUGGGGAAGCGUCUUGGCAAAAGAUAAGGAGCAAGAAUGUGUUUUUGCACUAGACCUUCUUGUUCUUUAGAUGAUAUCAACUUCUAGCAGAAUGCCAACUAAAGUUGCAAAGAAAACAAACAGUUCUGCACAUUUCCUGCCAUCUAAGGCUGACCCCCCAUCUCCCAAUUCUUUUUUGCCUGUUUGUGAUUGGAGGGCCUACUGUCCUCUCAGACUGACCAAAGGGUUAUGAUUUGCGGUCAUCGUCAUCGUGAGCAGCACCCAACUACUACUCGAGAUACCCAGGCCUAGCUUACAGGAAGCAGGGGACGGAGUCCUGUAUUCAGGCACCUUGGAUGUGUGGGUUCCCCCAGCAGCUGAGCAUCACCCCAGCCUGCUCCUUCCAGGUGACACUAAGGAAGUGCAACCCCUCCCAGAAGAGCAUGAGCCUGGUGAAGUCCUCAGUGGAACCAGAACUGUUCUUCUCGUCAAGCAGUUAUCUAUGUUAUCUUUCUUGGCACGAUUGUCUUAUGGAUUAGGGAGAUUAGGGGUAAUAAAUGUCUCGUUUGAGUGACAAGCUGGAAA